UACGAAGGGGGCUAGCGUUGCUCGGAUUGACUGGGCGUAAAGGGCGCGUAGGCGGUUCGUACAGUCAGACGUGAAAUUCCUGGGCUCAACCUGGGGGCUGCGUUUGAUACGUGCGGACUUGAGUGCGGAAGAGGGUCGUGGAAUUCCCCAGUGUAGAGGUGAAAUUCGUAGAUAUUGGGAAGAACACCGGUGGCGAAGGCGGCGACCUGGUCCGAUACUGACGCUGAGGCGCGAAAGCGUGGGGAGCAAACAGG
rnacentral:rRNA from 1 species